CCUACGGGAGGCAGCAGUGGGGAAUUUUGGACAAUGGGCGAAAGCCUGAUCCAGCAAUGCCGCGUGUGUGAAGAAGGCCUUCGGGUUGUAAAGCACUUUUGUCCGGAAAGAAAACCUUUGGGUUAAUACCCUGGGGGGAUGACGGUACCGGAAGAAUAAGCACCGGCUAACUACGUGCCAGCAGCCGCGGUAAU
rnacentral:rRNA from 1 species